UCUUCUGGAAUAGCCUCUUAGCUCAAAGCU
rnacentral:piRNA from 1 species